GUCUCUGGCUCCACCCCGUGCCGGGGAGUCGGCUGCCUGUUUGAGCCGGCGGCGCGUGUGCAGUCGUCGUCCCGCAGGCAGUUCCGCUGGGCACGCUGGGUUUUCAGAGCCCUGACGAUACAGCGUUCGGGUCCACUAGUCUCACUAAAAACUUGGAAGACUCGGUGCCAUUCCUUUAUUCGUGCCGAGGCGAGAGGGACUCAGGGUGAGAUGAGAGCGGUCUCAGCUUCUGCACCUCGACUUGCACAUCUGUAAAAUGGGGCUGAUAGCCCUCCUGCUCUCAAGAGCACGUGGAGGUGCCAGGCAUCGUGGUCCUCAGUACAUCUUAGGUUACUGGUGUUUCCCGCCUCCAGCCACCGUGCCGCCAUUCCCUCCUGCGUGCCCAAGCCCUCUCCCUGUAUCACCUUCCAGAUGGGAAAGCCAAAGCUUGGAAAAGUCACUUGACCGAGGUCACAAAGCUAGUAGGUGAGAAAUCAGACUCAAAGGUCGUCCUGACUGAGAAGCCACUCCAGCAACCCACUCUGUGCCCCCAAUGUCUAGGUCGCUCUUUUUAUGGACACACAUAUAAGUUUUAGUAGGAACUAGUUUAAGGAAGCCAGCGAAGCCCAACAAUCUCAGGCUUCUGAGGGCUUGGGGAUUAUAGCAGGUGGAUUGUUCUCUCUAGACCGUGUUUUGAGUGCUGGUCCCACUAGAUAAGCUCAGCACUUGUGGUGUUCAGUAAUAUGUGUUCUCUGACUCUGCAUGUUAGAUCCUGGGGACUGAAUCCUGGGGCCUUGCACAGGCGAGGCAAGCACUGAGCUAAAUGUACAGACCUUUUUGUUUUAUUUUGCCCAGGUUGUCCUCAAACUUGGCAAUUCUCCUGCCUCAGCCUUCUCUGACGAACUGGAAUUACAGGCAUGUACCACUGUACUCAGCUGUUAGAUCUUUUCUAAGUAAGAUCUGUGAAUUAAAAAAUUCAAGUUGGAAAGGGAUGACACAUGAUUUGAGAAUGGCAGGAAGAAACUUUGCCUUGAGGAGGAGGGACAGUACACUGGGGGUAAGUAUACAUGAUUAUGCAGCUGCAGAGGCCUCUGAUCAAGACGUGGCCCCCAAUAUCAAUAACUAAUAAAUAUUAUUAUUCAAUAGCUAAUCAAAGAAAAUCUGAGGGAAUUAAGGCAGCAUGAUGUUAUGCAAAAAAGGUGUGUGCCCCCCCACACACACCUUUCACAGGUCAGCUGUAUUCCUCAAUGCAAAUCCUGUCACUCCUUGUCCCGUUCCAUUUCCACAGAUGUAAAGUGAAUUCUUGCUAGAUGGACCAGACAUUUAAUGGUCAACCACCAGGGCCCAGUUUCCAGGCCCCAGGUGUUGGUGGCUCAUUUACACCUGUUAUUUUGUUAUUUGUUUUCCUCUUUGCCUGUCUUGUCUCUUCUUUACUGUUUUAAUAGCUGUUUUCUGGCAUACCACUCAUUCCUUUAAUGAUUUUUAAUUUUUAAAUUUUAUACUUAGCAGAUGCUAAGUAUUAUAGUAUACAUAUUUCAGUAUCUACUUCAUAUUUAUACUAACAAUUCCAGAAAGAUAGAGAAACUGCCCCAGUAUAGCUCCAGCCACUCCUCUCUCCUUUGUGGCCCUUAUUAACUUUGUCUAUAUGUUACAACUCAACCAUAUCCUGUUAUAUUGUUCUUAUAUAAUCUUGUUCUUAAAACUUUAGAGGAAAGAAUAUAGUUUUGGAGGAGUUCAUUAAUCUUCACAUUUGCCAUUUCUAGUGCUCUUGAUUUCUCUUUCUGUAGAUUUGCAUUAUGUGGCAUAUUACUAAAGAAAACCAGUAUGGUCUCCUUGCUGGGCCUCAUUGACUGCAGGUUGCUGGAACAGAAUCUGCUCUAUGUUCCAUAAGCCAUCUGGCAUUUGUACAGGCCUUGAUAAGGUUCAAAGUGCUUUUGUUGCCCGUGGUUUAUAUCAUGAGACUUGUAAUUCCUUGUGAACACACAAUCAGGCUAAUGUCUUAAGGACCAGGAAACACCCUGAAUUAAUAAAAGGGUGUGCCCUUUCCUCUUCUCUGAGAACCUAAGCUGCUGCUCUGAAACCAGAAUGUUCUUCUGAAACAAUUAUAAUUUCAGAAUAAGUCAUUGGGGUCAAGUGGCACUAACUUGUCCACAUUAGCAAGCAUCUGAGCUUUCUUGGCCGUUCAGUGAUCAAGUUGGUGGGAUUUGGGAAAGGGUGGGAGAAAUAUAUUUCCGUAGAUACCAAUUCUUUCUAAAAACUAGAGAGAAAUAAUGACCAUUCAGUUUUAAAGCUUCCAAGCAUUUACUUACAAAACAGGGCGUACCUAACAUGGUCCAGGACAGCAGGAAUGUAGGAGGGAAGCCCAGCCCUCUGCCUGGGUCCUGAUCUGUUUCAUGGAGACUUUGUAUCAUGAUCCCAGAAUGGGCUUUCUACAGAUUUGCAUUUGUUCCUUGCAACAAAUACUCCUAAGAAGCCUGGAUUCUAAUCUCCUCAGACAGCUCAAGUUUGCAGGGUACACCAGCUGCCCAGGAAAUGGGCCCUCCUUCAGUAUUUCAUUGAGGCAGCUCCCUGAAACUUGGUCACAACAUCAAAGACUAUUCAAAAAGCCCAGGUAGGGUAGGUGGCCCCAGGAAAGAUGAGGGUGAUGGAGUGCAGCCUGCCUACCCAGGACACCUCAGACCCUGGGGGAGUAGUAGGCAGAGGGAGGAGUCCCUGAGAACAGGGAGGAUUCCCCUGCAGCCUCUCUUCAUUACAGACAAUAGAAUUUUUUCCCCUGGGGAUUGAAUCCAGGGCCUGAUACCUGCCAGGCAAGCGCUAUGCCAAUAAGCUACAUCUCCAGCCCUCUUAUUUUUGAGACAGGGUCUCACCAAGUGUCCAGUCUGGCACUGAAUUUGUAGUCCUUCUGCCUCAGCCUCUCAAGUACCUGGAAUUACAGGCAUCUGCCACCAUACCCAGCUCAGCUUACAAAAUUCUAUGGGGACACAAGAACUUACAACAAUGUGAAUAUUCACAAUAUCCAAAAAGUGGAAACAGUUCACACCUCCGGCUAAUGAAUGGAUAAACAAAAUGUGGUCUAUCCAUAUACAAUGGAGUGGCUUUUUAACCAUGGAAUGAUGUACUCAUACAUACGAAGAAACAGUGAACCUUGAAAAUGUGCUAAAUGGUAGAAGCCAGUCGUGAAAGAACACAUUUGACUCCAUUUAUGUGAAAUAUGCAGGAGACUCCAGAGACAGAAAGCAAGUCAGUGGCUGCCACAGCCUGAGACGGGGCGGGAGGCAAUGAAAACAUUCUAAAAUAGGUUAUGGUGAUUUUAGCACAACAUUACGAAUAUACUUCUUUUAAAAACUUUAUUUUUUUUAUGUGGUGCCAAGUGCCUCACACGUGCUAGGCAAGUGCUCUACCACCCUACCACCGAGCAACAACCCCAACUCAUGAAUAUACUUUUUUUUUGGGGGGGAGGGACAGGGAACCAUGAAUAUACUUUUUUAAAAUAUUUUUUUAGUUGUCAAUGGAUUUUUAUUUUAUUUAUGUAUAUGCAGUGCUGAGACUCGAACCCAGUGUCUCACACAUGCUAGGCAAGUGUUCUACAACUGAGCCACAACCUCAGCCCGUGAAUAUACUUUUAAAUUAAAUCUCUAAAUUGUAUACUUAAAAAAUGGUGAAGUAUGUUUUAUCUUAAGAAUAAUUUGAGCUGGGUGCAGUGGAGAAUGCCUGUAAUUUGGGAGGCUGAGACAAGAGGAUCCUGAGUUCAAAGCCAGCCUCAGCAAAAAGUGAGGUACUAAACAACUCAGUGAGACCCUGACUCUAAAUAAAACACAAAAUAGGGCUGGGGAUGUGGCUCAGUGGUCGAGUGGCCCCCAAGUUCAAUACCCAGUACCCUCCAAGAAAGAAUAAUUUGCUGUUACAACACACCCCCCAUGGAGACAGCGCGUCCAAGUAGACACAUAAUUACUGUACCGACAGCAUCAUGGAGUUGGAAGUUUGACUCUCCCACUUUUCCUUUUCCUCAGGCCACCUUCUUUGCACAAUGAGCCAUACACUUGAAGGAUGGGGGUGAGAUCUCCCACAGAAUGCUGAGACCGAGGCUGUGACAGCAGUGAUCUUCGCUGCAAAUCAGAGCGUGAAACUGGCUGAUUCAGGCAGAAGUGGGAUUCAUGAAAGAAUGGUUCUGAGCACAGAGAACUGCUGAGAGGGUGGAGAGCUGGGCACAGACCGACCAGGGGGAGUAGGGGAGGAAAAGUCUGCACCACCUGUCGGACUUCACUUCUGUGGAUUCCCAAGGUCAGAGCGACCGAUGUUCAUCUUUCAACUGAAACAGCACCGGAGGCAACCUUUUAAGAUCUCCUAUUCUCUGUUUUCUACAUUUAUUAUUAUUACUAUUGUUACUAUUAUUACUAUUAUUAUUAUUAAAAAGUCCAAAAGGAGUUUGGGAGAAAGCAUAAAGGAAAAAAAAUGCACUGAAGGCCAUCAGACUAGGGAGACUGAGCAGAAUCAUGAUCAGCGCUCUGUUCUAACAGAUUAUGGAUUUGGUAGGUAAGAUUGCUUCUAAAGCAUUUGUGAAGUAGCAGUGGUGCCCACGGAUAGGACCAGUUACUCAGAAGGUUGAGGCAGGAUGGCUUGAGCCUGAGAGUUUGAGGCCAGCCUUGACAACAUAGUGAGACCAUCUCUUAAAAAAACAGGCUGGGGGUAUAGCCCAGUGGUAGAGCGCUUGCCUCGCAUGCACCAGGCCCUGGGUUCCGUCCCACCACCACAAAAACAUAUACAUACGUGCAGAAGAAGUAAAAAUCCAGACUUGGGCUGGGGUUGUGGCUCAGUGGUAGAGUGCUCCCACAUGAGGCACUGGGUUCUAUCCUCAACACUACAUAAAAAUAAAUAAAGGUAUGGUGUCCAUCUACAGUUAAAAAAUAAAUAAAUAGGGGCUGGAGUUGUAGCUCGGUGGCAGAGUGCUUGCCCCUCACCCGGGAGGCCUUGGGUUCAACCCUCAGCACCACAUAAAAAAAAAAAAAAUAAAGAAAAUUUCUAAAUAAAUAACUAAAUAAACCCAGAACUGGUCUCCAGGGCCUUCCCACACAGGGAAACCAGAGGCCCUCCCGACACCCUCCGGGGGACUCGGGGACCCCUCCUACUCUGAGCUGUUGGUUUUGCGCAGUGCCCCCCUUCUACCCUCCUGCUCACCCCCCGGAAGCGGGCCCAAGCCUCUCUUCCGCUUCCCAGCAGCCCACCUUCAGGUUGUCAUGAGGAAGUGACAGGAGUAAACAUCAAGGAUGAAUAAACAACAUGAAUCAGCAAAAGGACUUGUUUUGGACUUUGCAGUGACUAAGUGACUUUUUAGUUGUAAACAUGUUUUGGUUAUAGGAUGACUAGAUAGUAUGCCCAUGUUAGAUAAGUUGAUGAUGUAACUAGGUAGUGUGCUUAUGUUAGAUAAGUUAGACAUAAACAAGUUUGUUGUAAACAUAUAGAGUAUAUAAGCGCGAGGGAAACUCCAUGUAUUUGCUCACAAUCAACUCUCAUCGCCUGAGAGUAAGAUCGUGCAGUGUGAGCCAGUCACCUCGUGUAUUGCUUUGUGUGGUGUGCGAAUAAACCAGCAUUUCAAAAGGCAAUCGAGUUCGUGCUUGGUGUUCGCGUACGUCGCGGUCCGGGGUCCAGUGCAGAUAUCCGGAAGGGAACUCCUGGUAACCAGACAAGGCUGAGAAGCUGCUCGUGA
rnacentral:lncRNA from 1 species